UGUGUGUGUAUUUUCUUUUUUUUUGUUUUUUUUUUCCUUUUGCUUUUUUUGUUUUUUUUUCUCCUUUUAAUUUCUAAUUUGUGUGGUUUUUUUUCAUUUGUAUUUUUUGUUUUUUGCUGUGAGGCACUCUGUGGGGCGCUCUGUGUUGUUGGAAUUUCUUUUUUUCUUUUUUGUGUGUCUUUUGGUUUUUUUUGUGGGUUUUUGUUUUAGGUUUUUUUUUUCAGAUUUGUUGCUUUAAAUGUGAUUAUUUUCAUUUGCCGUUUUUUUUUUUCCCUCGUU
ensembl:lncRNA